GGAGAGGGGAGUCUUGAGAGAAGAAUUCUUGAAGUUAAUAGGAAAAGAGUCAAGGUAGUAAAGCCGGGCUCCAAGACUUCUUUUCCUACCACUGAAAUUCGUGGAAGUUAUGCUCCUCCCUUUCAUGUUGAACUUUUCCGGAAUGACCAACAUCGGCUUAGGAUUGUAGUGGACAGUGAAAAUGAAGUAGAUCUAAUGGUCCAUUCCAGGCAUAUGCGAGAUGUUAUUGUCCUUGUGAUCCGAGGCCUUGCUCAAAGAUUCAAUAGUACAUCUCUCAAUUCUCUCCUCAAAAUAGAGACAUAGCUUUGGCUAUGUAAUGUAAAGUGAAUUCAUUAGCAAAAUAUAUUCAUUUGUAGGUUUAGUUCAACUAAUCAACACUUUCUACCACAUUUAACUUCUUAUUUUUACUUUUCUCGUGAUUUUUGGUGUUGUGAUGUUCAUUGUUUUGUGUGUAAGCCGUGCUGUGCUGGAAAGUUUCGACGUGCCAAAAAAUAUCUGUAUAUUAUUAUAUCAAUGAUGAUUCUGAGAAAUGUUUGGCUUCUUUGACUCUAAUGUUUCCUAGAUUCUUGUAAUUUGGAACAUCUUCUCGGCGAUUUCCCUACAAUAAUGUUCCUUCUCUGUGAAUCUCUCAAAACUUAAUUGUUCCAUUUCUUUUCUUUACAAUUCCAAUGGCUUCUUCUUUCACUUGUAGAGGCAUCAUUUCUACUUUGCUCACCUCAUCUUAUCAUGAUCCUAGCAACCCAUUUAUGAUAAG
rnacentral:misc_RNA from 1 species